CAAGAUCUGUUUCUCCAGUGGGGACUGUUGACCUGCAGCAAUCCUAGGAUCUUUAGACACAUGUGCCCAGGCCAAU
ensembl:misc_RNA